AAUUAUUCAUGUGGCGAAAGUUUAAGUGAAGAGAUCAAUAACGUUUCGAAUGGUCCGAAGCCCGACGGCUCAAAUUAAUUAAGUUUCGAUGGAGGAGAAUUCUGAAAAAUAAAGUUUCGGUGAAGUAAAGUUCCGAGAGUUAAAAUGUACUCACACACCGUAGUUUAUUCAACGAGAGGGUGUGAAAAAUCAGAAAAACCGUAAAUCAGAUUCACCAGGAUUUCGAACGUAAAAAUAUGGAAAAUUCAAAGCACAGCAAGAUCAAAGUGGCGGAAUCUCACCAAGCCGGAAAUUCACGGUAUUGAAUAUCUUCGAUCAUUCGGAAUUUCAAUGUUUCAUAUCAAACUUGUGUCAUUUUCGCACUUUCGGAACUUUCACUUACCAAAGUUACGCCUUUUCGCAAGUUUAUCCUUUCGGAACUUUUUGAGCGUCGGGUUUCGGAACAUUCGAAUUAAACUUUGACGUUUCGUCAAAGUUUGAUUUCUUUACUUCAAGUUCCGCCACUAAAAAAUUCGAAAUUUCUCACUUUCGAAACGUUUUAAAUUCGGUAUUCCAUCCCCGCCCCGAUCAUUCGUCCGUCUCGGUGCCCGACGCAAAAACACCAAUCAACAUGCAUUGAUUUUAAAGCUGACGCAGCUUUACUUGUCCGGAAACAAUUUUAUUCUCUUCGUCCACUCUCCGGUGAAUUGAAAUUUUUCACAAAAAUCGGGACCAGAAAUCCAAACAAGGAAUGAAUACGCUCUAUUCCAUACAUUUAUACAUAACUAGCUGGCCCGGCAGACGUUGUCCUGCCCUUUCCGUUUAUAUUUCACAAUACAGAUGCUGCAACUUACCUGCCGGAAAUAUGCCACCCGGUAUCAAGCCUACUUGCUGAUAAUAUUCCUCAUCCGACAACGGAUACUUGAGCCAUUCCUUCAGAGAUUCCGGUGGUGGACGGGUUCCGGGGUUGUCUGGAAACGAAUAUCUCGAAAUGAUCACGAAUGUUUGUGGCAGACGCAGGCGAAUAAUUCACUCACUGUUAACGCUACGAACAACGGUAGGAAAAAUAGAAUCUAAUCACAUGUUUUCUUUCUUAAUAGAAGUGGUUAUAUGUGUACUAUGUGUGGUAUAGUUUCUACACAUGGAAGUGGAAUGCUAUUCAUAUGGUCUCACACUCAUCCGGAUACUAAGUAUCUAAAGUCUGAGUAUAGUCAACUAACGUGAAAUUGUUAACAAAGAUGCAAAAGCUUAAAGUGAGCAGUACUUUGGGAUAUGGUCGACUACAUUGGCUUUAAGUAUCUCCUUUGACUUCACUUUCUGCUAGUAAUGAGUAAGAAAUAAGUCGCUAUGUGUGAUACUAGGGAUUGUAGACAUGGACGCCACUAUCUUCACCGUAUAUGUAUAUUGUCAUCCUACCGAUAAUUCCAGGAUUAUUGGGAUCGAACAAUUGUCUCCUGUCGAUGGCGUCACGGAAUUCAUCGCUUGGCAUUCGGCGAACGAAGAAUGGUGGUUUGGGAUGAA